rnacentral:rRNA from 1 species
UCGUGGAGGUCCGAACCCACGAGCGUUGAAAAGCUCGGGGAUGACUUGUGGGUAGCGGUGAAAUUCCAAUCGAGCCCGGAGAUAGCUGGUUCUCCCCGAAAUAGCUUUAGGGCUAGCCUCAAGGUGAGAGAUACGGAGGUAGAGCACUGAAUGUCCUAGGGGGUAUUGCACCUACCGAAGACUAUCAAACUCCGAAUGCCGUCCUCUUCUACUUGGGAGUCAGACUGUGGGUGAUAAGAUUCAUAGUCGAAAGGUCAACAGCCCAGAUCGUCAGCUAAGGUCCCUAAAUGUAAGUUAAGUGGUAAAGGAUGUGGGAUUGCACAGACAACCAGGAUGUUGGCUUAGAAGCAGCCACUCAUUCAAAGAGUGCGUAAUAGCUCACUGGUCGAGUGAUCCUGCGCCGAAGAUUUCCGGGGCUAAAACUUACUACCGAAGCUACGGCAUCAGUAAUGAUGGGUAGGGGAGCUUCCCAUACGGGUUGAAGCAUGACCGUAAGGACAUGUGGACAGUAUGGGAGUGAGAAUGUUGGCAUGAGUAGCGAGAUGUGGGUGAGAAUCCCACAGGCCGUAAACCCAAGGUUUCCAGGGGAAGGUUCGUCCGCCCUGGGUUAGUCGGGACCUAAGCUGAGGCCGAAAGGCGUAGGUGAUGGACAACAGGUUGAUAUUCCUGUACUACCGAUAACCAUUUGAGAGAAGGGAUGACACAGUAGGAUAAGCUAAGCACACUGUUGGUUAUGUGUGCCCAAGCAUUGAGGCAGUCAAAGUAGGCAAAUCCGCUUUGAUAAUGCUGGGAUGUGAUGGGGAGCGAAAUUUAGUAGCGAAGUAGCUGAUUUCACACUGUCAAGAAAAGUCUCUAUCGAGGUUAAAGGUACCCGUACCGCAAACCGACACAGGUGGGUGAGGAGAGUAUCCUAAGGCCAGCGAGAGAACUGUUGUUAAGGAACUCGGCAAAAUGACCCCGUAACUUAGGGAUAAGGGGUGCCACCAUCAGGUGGCCGCAGAGAAUAGGCCCAAGCGACUGUUUACCAAAAACAUAGGUUUCUGCUAAGUCGCAAGACGAUGUAUAGGAGCUGACGCCUGCCCGGUGCUGGAAGGUUAAGGGGAUCUGUUAGAGCAAUCGAAGCAGUGAACUUAAGCC